GACAGAGGCCCCGAGCGUUAGUCGGAAUCACUGGGCUUAAAGGGUGCGUAGGCGGACGUGUAAGUGCUUUGUGAAAGCCCCGGGCUCAACCCGGGAACCGCAGGGCAUACUGCACGUCUUAGAGGAAGCUAGAGGCGGGUAGAACGAUCGGUGGAGCGGUGGAAUGCGUAGAGAUCGAUCGGAAUGCCAAGGGUGAAGACAACCCGCUGGGGCUUUCCUGACGCUGAGGCACGAAAGCGUGGGGAUCAAACAGG
rnacentral:rRNA from 1 species